CGCAGUGGACAAGCCGCGAGGCCACAGUCACGGGGGAAGUUAGCUCCGUUCGGCCUAAUUCACUGUGUUGCCUCAGAAUAGCGAGACAUAGCUAUGUGUGCAAUUACACACAUUUUACAUCAGAAAACGCUGCAAUGGAUAUUUAACAUCUAUCUGAGAACAUCUUAUUGAAAAAACAGAACCAGUAACAGUGCAGCACACCCUCAGUACCUGACUGCAUUGUGGUACAAUCAUAGUGAAAAUGUACUAUCAAUAUUCAAUUUUAUCAUUUGAUUUUACAGCCUGAAACUUUCAAAGACUAAACUCAGCUUUAAAAAUGGUCAAAUGCUGAUCUAAAAUCACUAUUAUAACCUGAACAGGUUGAGCAAAGCUCUUGACACCUGCCACCAACAAGAGAUCAGUCUGAUCAACAAUUCAAUUUACACAUUGAGAACAAAGAUUGUCAAUAGAGUAUUUAGCUUGUGUUCACCUUUAUCAACAGCUGCUUCUGAGUAGCAGGGCAGAGACAAGAAAAAAUGGAUUUGUGAAUAUGCACUGGAAGAUGAUCUCUCAGCCUAGUUCUCUCCUUCUCAAUAUCAAACUCACUGAUGAAUAGCAACUUGGAACACCCAACAUGAUUCACUGAGGACUCCUGGACAUCUGCAGCUUUACUGUGUCUAAGGAAACAAGAUAGCAGCUGAACAGUGGAUUCAAGUCUUUAAGUCUUGCAACUCAAAGACUCAAAAAAAACCAAAGAAUUGCAACAGCUUUUAACUUUCUGUCUGUACCAGAUCUCCCUCCUCUUUCUUUAUAAGCUCAUUAAUUGUGUGUUUUUGUGUGUGUUUGUUGUCAUGUUUUUUUUUCAGGUAACAAAACUCCACAUUGUUUUACUCAAGAAAAUCUUGGACUUGCCCAUCCUUUAUUUUUGAUUAGGCUAACUAAGUUUAAUUGGAGUGUGAUAAUAACGUGCUUUAAAAAGCAUCUGACCAAGAAGGGAGCCAAUGCCGUCUGCCCACCUGGCCAUAACAACAGUCAGCCCAAAUUUUGUCCUUAACUCGUCAAAGUGGUACUUGAAACCAUUACCUUUUGAUAUAGAGGAAGGAGAGCAGCUGGCAUCAGUAUGUUGAUGCAUUCCACAUUCCAUAUCGUUUCCAGAGAAACAGCAAUGGUAUGUAAUGAGACAAUAGAUCAAGUUUCAAUGCAGUUCUCACCCAAACCGACCAGAGUUGUUGAGUAGAAUCAGUUUAAUUUGAGUAAUUUCCAGCAGGAGACGCUGGAUAGUGACUGAAUUUAAGGAGAAAAUAGAUAAAUCUUUAAUUAGUAAAGGGUUGCAGGAUUAUGGGCAGCGGGCAGGAAAGUGGAAUUAAAGCCAAUGUGAGAUCACAUUAAAUGGCAGAUCAGGCUUGAGGAGCUGAAUGGCACACUUCUGCGUCUAGUUCUUAGCUCUUAAAACUUGGGCCUGCUGAUCUGUUUGGAUGUUGAAGGUAUUUUAAUUAAUGAGACCAACAUCUGCUUUUCUGUUCCCUGUGAUUAUAUUCAGCAAAUCUGUAGUUAUAUUCAAAUGAGCAUACAGACAUAUAAUUUAGGAGCAGAAGUAGACAAUUUGACCCCUUGAGUUUGGUGCAUCAUUUAAUAGCAUCAUGGCUUAUUUGUUUGUACAUCGAGUAUUCCUGUCUACUUUUGAUAACCCUUGAUUCUCCUGCCUAACUAGAAUGUAUCAAUCUCUGCCUGAAAAAUAUUCAAUGAUCCCGUUUCCACUGCAUUCUGAGUCAGAGUUCAAAUGUUACACAAAUCUCUGACAGAAAAACAAUUUCUCAUCUUGGCAGGUCAACUCCUAAUUUUAAAACAGUGCCCCCUGUUUUGGACUUCCCACAGGAGGAAACAUCCUUUUCGUGUCUACAUUCUCAAGACCAUUCUGGAUCUUGUAUGCUUCAAUCAAGUCACACCUCAAGUCUCUAAUUCCAGCAGAAACAAGUCCAGGUAUCCAAACCAUUGUCAUAGGACAACCCACACAUUCCAAGUAUCAACAGUAAAUCUUUUCUGAACUGUUUCCAAUGCAUUCAGAAUUUCCUUGAAUAAGGAGACCAAAACUGCUCAAAAUAGUUGAGAUGUGGUCUCACCAAUGCCCUAUACAACCAAAGCAAAGUAUCCUUACUUUUAUCAUAGAAUCCCUAUAGUAGAAGUCAGCCACUGAGUCCACACCAACCCUCUAUACAGCAUCUCACCCAGACCCACACCCCUUACCCUACCUCUGUAACCUGGCAUUCCCCAUGGCUAAUCCACCAAGCCUGCAUAUCCCUGGACUCUAUGGGCAAUUUAGCAUGGCCAAUCCAUCUAGCCUGCACAUAUUUGGACUGUGGGAGGAAACCGCAGCACCCAGAGAAAAUCCACGCAGAUACUGAGAAAAUGUGCAAGCUCCACAAAGACCCCUGACCAAGGCUGGAAUCAAACCCGUGUACCCGAAACUGUGAGGCAGCAGUGUUAACCACUAAGCCAUCA